CUGAAAUAAAAACUUGGUCAAA
rnacentral:snRNA from 1 species